rnacentral:lncRNA from 12 species
UUAUUUCUUGUUUGUUUUGGAUUGGCAGUUGCGGAACACUGAAACCAGAAAGAGGCUGAGAAAUAUGUUUGGCUGCCUGUAAUUGGAGCUGUAAUCAUUGUAUUCUGAGCAGUGUCAUCAUACCCGUUGUAAGUGUGAAUUUCCUGCAGGAAGCUCUUCUGACUUGUCAUAGGAUUAAUGUAAGUAAUACCCAUAAAAAAUAGUCAAAUACAUUGCAAGGUAUUU